GGCGAUGUGACCGAGUGGCAGGUGGGAGUUUGCAACGCUUCUUACGGUGGUUCGAAUCCACCCAUCGCCU
rnacentral:tRNA from 1 species